rnacentral:lncRNA from 1 species
AUUAAUACAUAUAUAUAAGUAUGCAAUAUUUUUUUGGUUAGAUCACGUUGGGUUUUGUGGGUUAUAAACUGGAAUUUUAAAUUGAUCAGCCAUGUGCUUUAGAAACAGUAUCCAAAAGUGUUUUUUGUCACAUCCCGGCCCGGGCCCCUACCACAUCCCGGACUCGACUCCACCGUAGCAUGAUAUUGUUCGUUUUGAGUCCCG